AUGCAGGUAUGGGUGGACUACGACGGCCAGGCCAAGCGACUCGAUGUGACACUAGCCCGCGUGCACGUGCCCAAGCCCAGCAAGCCUCUGCUCUCCGAGGCCAUCGACCUCUCCACUCUCAUGGCGGACGCGAUGUACGUCGGCUUCUCGGCGUCGUCGGGAGUCAUAUCGGGGCAUCACUACGUGCUCGGAUGGAGCUUCAGCUUGGACGGGCCUGCCCCGACUCUUGAUUUCUCCAAGCUUCCUGCCCUGCCACGCCUGGGACCCAAGCCUCGGUCCAAGGUACUGGACAUCGUGUUGCCGCUGGCCAGCGCGUUGCUCGUGGCAGCAGCGCUGGCUGCGGUCUUCUUCUUUCUGUGGCGUCGGCGCCGGUUCGCCGAGGUGCGCGAAGGCUGGGAAGACGAGUUCGGCCCCCACCGAUAUGCAGACAAGGAUCUGCAUCGUGCCACUGAUGGGUUCAGAGAGAAAAACUUACUUGGCGUCGGAGGAUUCGGGAGAGUGUACAAAGGCCUGCUUUCUGAAUCCAAUUUGGAGAUCGCCGUGAAGAGGGUGUCGCAUGAAUCAAGGCAAGGACUGCGCGAGUUCGUUGCCGAGGUGGCGAGCAUUGGUCGGCUCCGCCACCGGAAUCUCGUGCAGUUAUUGGGCUACUGCCGGCGCAAGGACGAGCUUAUCUUGGUGUAUGACUACAUGUCAAAUGGCAGCCUUGACAAGUACUUGCACGAUCCAAACAUGCCCGCCAUAUCUUGGCCCGAAAGGUUCUCGAUCAUCAAAGGGGUCGCAUCGGGCGUGCUGUAUCUCCACGAGGAUUGGGAAAAGGUUGUCAUCCACAGAGAUAUCAAGGCAAGCAAUGUUCUCUUGGAUGAACAGAUGAAUGGAUGCCUCGGCGAUUUUGGCCUAGCAAGGUUAUACGAUCACGGAACUGUCGCUCAAACAACCCAUGUUGUCGGCACCAUGGGAUACCUUGCACCAGAGCUUGUGCGCACCGGGAAGGCAACACCCAUAACCGAUGUGUUCGCAUUCGGUGUCUUUCUCCUAGAGGUUGCACGUGGACGACGACCGAUCAAGCGUAGCGAGCGAAACAACCCUGUAGUGAUGAUUGAUUGGGUGCUUGAGCACCACCGCAGUGGAUCGUUACUCAAGGCGGUGGAUCCACGACUAGCGGGAAAGUUUGACACAGAGGAGGUUACCCUCGUGCUGCAACUAGGUUUGUUGUGCUCCCACCCAUUGCCUGAUGCAAGACCUAGUAUGCGAAAGGUUACGCAAUACCUAGAUCGUGGGAAGUCGGUUCCUGAUCUGUCGCCGACUUACAUGAGCUACAGUAUGCUGGCGCUGAUGCAAAAUGAUGGCUUCGAUUCGUACAUUAUGUCGUACCCUCCAUCAGCGGCUAGCACUGCUGCGGUGUCUUAUGGAUCUACGAUGACAGUUCUCACUGAGGGCAGAUGA
rnacentral:rRNA from 1 species